UGGGGAAUAUUGCACAAUGGGGGAAACCCUGAUGCAGCGACGCCGCGUGAAGGAAGAAGUAUUUCGGUAUGUAAACUUCUAUCAGCAGGGAAGAAAAUGACGGUACCUGACUAAGAAGCCCCGGCUAACUACGUGCCAGCAGCCGCGGUAAUACGUAGGGGGCAAGCGUUAUCCGGAUUUACUGGGUGUAAAGGGAGCGUAGGCGGUCAGACAAGUCAGAAGUGAAAGCCCGGGGCUCAACUCCGGGACUGCUUUUGAAACUGCCUGACUAGAUUGCAGGAGAGGUAAGUGGAAUUCCUAGUGUAGCGGUGAAAUGCGUAGAUAUUAGGAGGAACACCAGUGGCGAAGGCGGCUUACUGGACUGUAAAUGACGCUGAGGCUCGAAAGCGUGGGGAGCAAACA
rnacentral:rRNA from 1 species